GUGUCUGUAGCCUAGUGGUAAAAGGCAGUACUCUAGAUGCUGAGGUCGUGGGUUUGAAUUCCACCAGACACA
rnacentral:tRNA from 1 species